rnacentral:rRNA from 1 species
UACGAAGGGGGCUAGCGUUGUUCGGAAUUACUGGGCGUAAAGCGCGCGUAGGCGGUUUUGCAAGCCAGAGGUGAAAUGCCUGAGCUCAACUCAGGAAUGGCCUUUGGGACUGCGAGGCUUUGAGGACUGGAGAGGUGAGUGGAAUUCCCAGUGUAGAGGUGAAAUUCGUAGAUAUUGGGAAGAACACCGGUGGCGAAGGCGGCGACCUGGUCCGAUACUGACGCUGAGGCGCGAAAGCGUGGGGAGCAAACAGG